GCCGGUAUAGUUUAGUGGUAAAACAGAUCCUUGGUAAGGAUCAGCGGUAAGUUCAAUUCUUACUUCCGGCACCA
rnacentral:tRNA from 2 species